UCUCAAAAGCAAAACCGGCCGAGGAGAGUUCCUCUCGGUUGGAGUGUCUCCGCAGCGGCCUGCUCCCCCUGGGGCUGGGUUGCAACCCCCAUCAUCCCCAGCCCGCACAGCCGAGAUGGCGGAGCUGCGCCACCGAGAUAGAAAAUGCCUCCUCCCUCCACUCUAUGGUUGCGCCUCCCCGCCUCUUCCGGCACGCCCACCCACGGGGUCGCUGUGAGGCCACGUGGCGUCACGCAUCUCCUGACCAAUCAGGAGCGAAGGAGCGCGAUGACGUCAGGGGUGGAGAGCUGCCCCGCUUUUCUGCUCGGAGCGACGUCUUUCCUAAUAAGGGAAACGUCUCCGCUUCGCCCCGCCCCGCCCCGAAUGUACCCAUUGAUUAAUUAGCUUUGCAUUUCGCCUUUUCCUCUGGCGUCAUUUCUAGGCAGUUGGAUGAAUCCGCCUCCUCCUCCUCUCGAUCUUGUCCUCAGAACAACAACCCUGCAAGGCUCCAAGUGACAAAGUCAUGGAAGCCGAAGCACGAGUGAGGCGCCCAUCCAGGGAAUAUUCCGGACAGUAUCGGCCUGCCAGGGACGCUCCAGCUGAUUUCUGAUAGUUCAGAGAUCAGAAGCAUCACACAACUUGAAACCGUGAGAAAAAUGCAGAUUUUCUCCAUGUGACCUUGGCUCCCUUCCUGGAAAAAGAGAGAGGAGAGGAGAGGAGAGGAGCAGUCCCUCUGCAAGACGCUUUUAUUCAAAUCCCAGGUGGGCUGUUAUGGUUGGCCUGCAGUGGUGUACAAGCUCUGGGGUGACACAGAAAUUGAAUGAAAUAAUAAUAAUAAUAAUAAUAAUAAUAAUAAUAAUAAUAAUAAUAAU